AUUGUCAGCUAAGUGGCGCACGGGUGAGUAAUGUAUAGGUAAUAUGCCUCUUACUAAGGGAUAACAAUUGGAAACGAUUGCUAAUACCUUAUAUUCCUUUUUAUCAAAAGAUAAAAAGGGAAAGAUUUAUUGGUAAGAGAUUAGCCUGUAUUGUAUCAGUUAGUUGGUGGGGUAAUGGCCUACCAAGACGAUGACGCAUAACUGGUUUGAGAGGAUGAUCAGUCACACUGGAACUGAGACACGGUCCAGACUCCUACGGGAGGCAGCAGUGGGGAAUAUUGCACAAUGGACGAAAGUCUGAUGCAGCAACGCCGCGUGGAGGAUGACACAUUUCGGUGCGUAAACUCCUUUUAUAUAAGAAGAUAAUGACGGUAUUAUAUGAAUAAGCACCGGCUAACUCCGUGCCAGCAGCCGCGGUAAUACGGAGGGUGCAAGCGUUACUCGGAAUCACUGGGCGUAAAGAGCGUGUAGGCGGAUUGAUAAGUUUGAAGUGAAAUCCUAUAGCUUAACUAUAGAACUGCUUUGAAAACUGUUAAUCUAGAAUGUGGGAGAGGUAGAUGGAAUUUCUGGUGUAGGGGUAAAAUCCGUAGAGAUCAGAAGGAAUACCGAUUGCGAAGGCGAUCUACUGGAACAAUAUUGACGCUGAGACGCGAAAGCGUGGGGAGCAAACAGGAUUAGAUACCCUGGUAGUCCACGCCCUAAACGAUGUACACUAGUUGUUGUGAGGCUCGACCUUGCAGUAAUGCAGUUAACACAUUAAGUGUACCGCCUGGGGAGUACGGUCGCAAGAUUAAAACUCAAAGGAAUAGACGGGGACCCGCACAAGCGGUGGAGCAUGUGGUUUAAUUCGACGAUACACGAAGAACCUUACCUGGACUUGACAUAGUAAGAAUGAUUUAGAGAUAGAUUAGUGUCUGCUUGCAGAAACUUGC
rnacentral:rRNA from 2 species